GGAGGGGCGAGCGUUAUUCGGAAUCAUUGGGCGUAAAGGGCAGGUAGGCGGCUUUGUAUGUCCAAUGUGAAAGCCCUCGGCUCAACCGAGGAAUUGCAUUGGAAACUGCAGGGCUUGAGUCCGGGAGAGGGAAGCGGAAUUCCCAGUGUAGCGGUGAAAUGCGUAGAUAUUGGGAGGAACACCAGUGGCGAAGGCGGCUUCCUGGACCGGUACUGACGCUGAUCUGCGAAAGCCAGGGGAGCAAACGGGAUUAGAUACCCCGGGUAGUCCUGGCUGUAAACGAUGAGCACUUGGUGUGGCGGGUAUCGACCCCCUGCUGUGCCGACGCUAACGCAUUAAGUGCUCCGCCUGGGGGAUACGGUCGCAAGGCUG
rnacentral:rRNA from 1 species